ensembl:lncRNA novel transcript
CUCAACAGAUUGAAUCAUGCCCACCUAUAUUGAUUCUUGAUGUGCCUAGAAUGAUGGAACCACCUCAAGGCACGCAAUGGUUGAAGCAACAAACUGAUCUUGGGCCUGAAUUCGGAGACACACCUCUUGUUAUUAUUGCAUCUAUGUCACCAUCAAGUAAUUACAUAUUCCCACCACAAGCUCUGAAAACAUGCAAAACCACCUGACAAAAAGGAGAAACAAAAGAAAAAGGGGGUCUGAAACAUAACCAGAUGUACAAUACAAUCUGUUAAGGUGAACUCCCGAGGAGCAGAGAUCACAUGUAAUUCUGCUCUUACUUAUCAGGAUGAAGAAAGCUGUGCAACAAGUUUGGCUGAGUUAUUUUAGAAGAGAUACAUAUUUUCUAAAUGAGAUUUGGAUAACAGCCUACGUCUAAUCCUCUGGUGACUGAAGAUGCAAAGAAUUGUCAGAGCAGUUUGGCUCAUCAAGCUAUAAAGUACAAAAUUAUUAUGACACUCAGUUGGCACAUGUGAAACCAACCGAACUAAACCCUUAAUCCUGUGUAGUCCCUCAAACAGGAUCUGUUUCUAAGAGGCAAGCAGCAGUUUUGUGGAUUAUAUAUAUGUUACAUGAUUGGAGUGAGUUAAAAGUAAAAUAAUAUGAAGGCCAGUA